CCGGAGCUGGGGUGCUUUUCCCCCCAUGCUAGGCAGUGCGCCAAGAGCUGCCAGCGCAGGCCUGGCUGAGGGCAGUGCCUGGGGGGUCCUCAGUGGCAGUGGGGCAGGGCUCCCACUCGCUGGGCUCUUCCCCAUGCCCCUGGAGUCCCUGCUGCCGGUUAGCCACGUCACUCUCUGGACAAGCCCCCUCGCCACGCACCAGCCCUACCCUCCAUUCCCGCCACGGGCCCUGCUCGCUGGGCAGCACGCAGGCCUAGGAAUCCACCAGCGUCCCCAGGACACCCAAACCCCACUGCACGAGCAGCCGCGGGUCCCAGCGCCUGCGGCCCAGCUAGGCUCCAGCUUUCUCCCUGCCUCCAGCUAACUGCCCUGGCUGUGCCAACAGAUACAAGAGGGUCUACAGAGUGCACCAGGACGUCUGCUACAAGGAGAGCUGCGAGAGCACGGCUCCCAAGACAGGCAGCAGGAAACCGGGCCCCAGUCGCACACCGAAGGAGCCAUAGAGGUAAAGCACUAGGAGCGUCAUCUCACCAGUUCUAAGGGCUUUCAAACAGCAGGACGAUCGGCUCUCCAAACUGGGUCCAAAAUGGGGGGAGGCAUCCUACGAGGAGUCACCGCCCCCCCGCCGGUUAGGGACACACCCAGAUUGGCACCCCAGGCCCGCACACCGGCUUUCCUUAUUGCAGCCGUCGACCUUCCCAUCCCCUGAAUCCACCUGGGGCAAGCCAGCUGUCCAACGGGGCGAGCCGUCUGUCACCCAGGCCUGCUCAAGUGAGCCCGCAGCUGCACAGGCAUUGACAGGGCUGAGAUCAGCCUCCGGCUUGCCAGCAUAAGCACCCAGCCGUUGAACUGCAAAUCCCCCACGACUCGAGUUCCACGCCACCCCGUGCUCCUUAGCUACGAGCCCACACCCGCAGAGAAGCCAAGUAUUUCCCUGCACGGCCGCGUUAACACCAACUCCCAGUGAUCUGAACUGAUGAGGGUGGAAAAUAAAACGGACGACACGUUGCCCCUUCUCUCGUACCGCCGCUGCCUUGUUUUUAAGAACCCCGUGCUGAGUAGUGGGCAGCACCGGCUGUUCUAACGGCGUGGCAGUGUGCAGCUCACAAACACGCCUGGAGCACCUCCCCACGUUUUCCUCCCAGGACAGGUUAAGGCUCAGAAAGGUUUUGCUCCCGUCCUCGUUUUUAUAACACCCACACGCUGGCCUGUGCAAUCGUCUCAAGGCUCUGCAGCGCUGCCCGGCUCAGAACAUGUGUCAGCUGACGUAGUAACACGCUGGAACGUGCAGCCGGAACCGAGUCGGGAAGUUUCCAAAGCGCUUGUCAGCUGUAAGCCACUUCUCUGCAGCUUUAGAUUCUGAACCAGGUAGAUCCAGGAAGCUGAAACCGCCCCCACGCCUGGCAUCCAAGCACCCGUUCCCUCUGUUCCAGCUGUGCUUAGGUACUGGCCACAAUCGCAGCCCUGCAGGCUCAAGCAAAGUGUUGAGCGUUUCCAUUUCCUAGCUUUUGAGUUUGCGGGUCACUAACUGCACCGAGGUUGUGUCUUCCUGGGCACAGCGUCACCUGAAGUGACACAUGCCAGAGACACCGCUUAGCAGUGGCCCUGCGGCCAGGUUGCAGGAGCUGUCUACGGGUGCACCUCACACAGGCUGCAGCGACCGGCCCCCGGGCUGUAGCAAAGGCGAGGCCGGCUGUGAGCAGAACACAGCGCAGGCCUUACCAGCUCCCCGCCGCAGCUGGCCUCCCUGCUCUGCGCACCGCCAGGCGCGUGGGACCUGCCAGCUGGCAGAAUGCUCUUGCCCAGCUCAGGGACCCUUUGCCUCCCGGCUCCAGCCGCUGCCGAGCUCGGCCCAGGAACGACCCGCUUGAGAGAGGCUGCCAGGAACCGAACUGGGAGGCAGAUGGGUUGCCAGGAACAAGGCUUCCUAAGGGCCACCCACAACUCCAGCAUCCCAGCUUCACCUCACCAGCCCUGGGGAAGGAGGGCCCUGCUUCUGGGACGCGGGGGGAGGCUGUCAGAGCCCCAGCAAGCCUUGCCGUUACCUGGGGAGGGCAGGAGACCAGGCCUCAAACAUCCAACAUGGCAAGUGGGGCUGCCAGGCCCUGGUCCCAAGCGGGUCUGUCCCACGUCCCAGCUGGCAGCCGACAAGGACCGGCCUGCAAACAGGGCGACCGAAGGCGCAGGCAGCCUGGGGCUCAGAAGCCCACUGCUGGGUAAACGUCUUGAGUUUUCUGCAAAUAUCCCUUUAACUGGAAACUAAAGCCAGUCCCUUGCCGCCUAGCUCUGGCAGCCUUCGAGCGCAGCUCUCGGGCCACACCACCAGCAGCUGGUGCUUGCCUGCGCCCCCAAUGCACCGGCAGCAGCCGCGGUUGUGGCAGUCCGACACUGCGCCUCCCCAGGUGCAGCCGCCGCAGCGUCCUGGGCCAUCGCAGGCUGCGCAGACUGAGCACAGCGUGUAACGCAGCAGCAGAAGAUCGGAUCUUGUUCAAACGUUCGCUGUUUUGUUUUCUAAAUAAAAUCCA